rnacentral:rRNA from 1 species
CCUACGGGUGGCAGCAGUGGGGAAUAUUACACAAUGGGCGCAAGCCUGAUGCAGCCAUGCCGCGUGUAUGAAGAAGGCCUUCGGGUUGUAAAGUACUUUCAGAGGGGAGGAAGGCGGUGAGGUUAAUAACCUCACCGAUUGACGUUACCCGCAGAAGAAGCACCGGCUAACUCCGUGCCAGCAGCCGCGGUAAUACGGAGGGUGCAAGCGUUAAUCGGAAUUACUGGGCGUAAAGCGCACGCAGGCGGUCUGUCAAGUCGGAUGUGAAAUCCCCGGGCUCAACCUGGGAACUGCAUUCGAAACUGGCAGGCUAGAGUCUUGUAGAGGGGGGUAGAAUUCCAGGUGUAGCGGUGAAAUGCGUAGAGAUCUGGAGGAAUACCGGUGGCGAAGGCGGCCCCCUGGACAAAGACUGACGCUCAGGUGCGAAGGCGUGGGGAGCAAACAGGAUUAGAUACCCCGGUAGUC